UGGAUAGAAAAGGGGUAAUGUAAACAGAUACUCACUAUCCGAGGAAACGGAUUUUUUAACUAUCCAUUUUUACCUGUCCUCCGGGUACCCGCUAUAUCCUAUCGCACGAUGGCAGAGUGGAUAUCAUAAUACCCUCAUAUAUAUAACGAGUUAGGCUUUGGAAAAAACCGUACUCUUUUCACUCACACUUUGCGCAUGGCGCAGCCCCAGUGCCCCACAGGCCACAGCCUCACUCUCUCACCGCACCGCCACAAAGCACUGCCACCCGGCAACGCACCGCCGCAAAGCAUCGCCGCUCUGCACCCCAUACUUCGACACUGCCAACACUCAACACCGUCAUGACCGCUGCACCGCGCAAAGGGCCGAGGACAACCUCCUCUUCUCACAACCUCGUCAUCACCGCCGCACCCCACACUUCCAACACCGUCACCAAUCUUCUCACAACCUCGAUGCACAUGUACAUCUCCAUUCAAUUUCUAUUUUCUUCUACAAUGUCCUUCGCCCUCCUAAUACUAUGAUUUGGGGGAUUUGAAACUUGGUUCUGGUGUGGAUGAGGUAAUUAGCAAUUUAGCAUUUAGAAUUUGAAACUUGGGGGAUUUGGGAAUUUUAGGGCUAAAGUUUCGAAUUUUGGAUUGGCAAGAGCUGUGGAGGAUCACUGGGAUAAUGGUGGUUUCAAUUGACAAGGCAUUCUGACUAAUAAAAAAAAAGUACACAUCAACGUGGCAUCUCCGCAAUUUUUCUGAUAUUAAUUAAUUUUUCAUUUGUUCUUAAUAGAUUAAAAACGUAAAAAGUACUCAACUGUAGUAUUGACUCGUAAAAUGUAUGUUAUGUAAUCCUUACAUUUUAAUGAGAAAUAUACUUCAUUGUAUAUAAUUAUAUUAUAUAUACUUGCACAUGUUAAAAAUUAACCAACACCAGCACACAACACCUUAAAUCAUGAAUUAAUGCAGAAAGAAGGCACUGUACAAAAAGGGGGAAUGGAAAAGAAAGCAAUCUAUUUCCCCUAAAUGGAACCUGAAAGGGUCUUGCCUGAUAAGCCUAUCGUGAUAUACAUUUGGGAUAUUAUCAGGGCCGCCAGAAAGUUGGGAUUGAUAGCUAGGGGUAGAUGAGUAUAGCUAGCAACUUCUCAAUGACUUGCACUUAAGUUCAGAUUCUGAACAACCAGAAAUGGUUCACAUAUACAACUGACAGGAGAUGAAAGGGAAAAUGAAAUGAACAACAAAGGCAUUGCUUUUCCUGAUUUCUGCUAAGAGUGUGCUUGAGCAUGCUUAGGUUUCUGAUGGCCAAAUCUCCUAUAGCUGAUAGAUAGAUGAUGAUUAGAUGAUCAUUAUGGUAUUGCUCAAUUGCUUCGAUGGAACAAGAUAUUCUUUUUUAAUCUUGUAAUUGCUGAGUUUUCUUUUGGCCUCUUUUUUAAUCCUCUACUACAAAUGUUAAAUUUUCAUGUUUCUCCUGUAUAGCUUUCAUUUUUAUAUUUCCCUCUUAUGAAUUAUUAUACUAUUGAAAUGAAGUAGUCCAUGACCUUAGGUUGAUGGUUUCAUUCAUGGAAAUGGGUCAAAUUUAUAAUGAUUAUUGAGUCUUCAUUUAGUACAUAUGGUCGUAUUCUUACUUCACAUCGUAGUAGAUUACAUCUAGAUACUUUGGAGGCAGAUUGACUUUGGACCGACAUGGAAGGCUCAACUAAAUCUAAGGUGGACAAAAUGUUACUCCAAAAAGUGUUUGAGGAAAUAGUUGAUGAUGUUAGUAUCUUUUUUAUAUAUAUUUCAUUCCAAUUUUAACAAUAUUUAUCGUCAAUGGUUUUAAUUUAUAUGUUUUUUUGUUUCGGGAACAAGUGACCAAAGUGAGGUUGUUGAAGAGUAAAGUUGAAGUUGUUUAGAUUUAAGGAAUUGAAGUUGAACUUCUUUUAUUGGACUUAUGUUGUAGAUAGAUUAAUUUUAUUUGAACCAAUGUUUUAAAGAGACUAAUCUUAUUUGAAUUUAUGCUUUAAUGUUAUUUGAAUUUAUGUUUGAGUUAUGCAA